GCUUCCGCCAGCGCCGCAGCGGGGAAUCUGCAGUAGGUUCGCUGGCGAUGUUGUGGUGGGCUAGCUCGCCGCUUCGGCUCUGGCUGCUGUUGUUCCUCCUGCCCCCAGCGCAGGGCCGCCAGAAGGAGUCAGGUUCAAAAUGGAAAGUAUUUAUUGACCAAAUUAACAGGUCUUUGGAGAAUUACGAACCAUGUUCAAGUCAAAACUGCAGCUGCUACCAUGGUGUCAUAGAAGAGGAUCUAACUCCUUUCCGAGGAGGCAUCUCCAGGAAGAUGAUGGCAGAGGUAGUCAGACGGAGGCUGGGGACCCACUAUCAGAUCACUAAGAACAGACUGUACCGGGAAAAUGACUGCAUGUUUCCCUCAAGGUAAGAGUUACGAGGUAGAUAUAUCUUCUGACUUUAUUACAUAUGGGCUUGAUACCCUUUUAUAGAGGAGCCAAUUCAUGGGACUAACAAGCAGAUCCCUCCUCACAUUUCAGGCGGACUAUGAAAUAGUGACGAGCUCUUCUCCUUGCCUGGGAAUUUUUCUUGCGAGCUCCUCUCAAAGCCUGUCUCCUCUGUGAGGCUUGGCUCAUCACUGGUUGUACUGGUGGUGGCUCUGUCUCUUCUGCUCCUUCCCUGGGAUAUAGUAGCAGCAGGACACAGGCUGAUGAGGCCUAGCAGGCCUAGCAGGAGGGAGCUGGGCUGAAGGAGGAAGAGGAAUUGGUUGAGUGUCUGUCAUGGGCCAGU
rnacentral:sRNA from 1 species